UGAAAAAAAUGGAGGAAAAGAUUAUUGUCGCCGUCUGUGGGCACCCCGAACUUUACGAUACAACUCUUUAUGCUUACCGAAACCGGAGCUAUAAAGAUAAAGCGUGGAACAAGGUCGGAGAAGCCGUGGGACUACCUGGAGAUCUGCCGCCGGAGGUGGAAAAGUCUCAGAGACACGUAUCAAAGAGAGAAGAAGAGAGAGAGCAGCGCAGUGGGAGUGCAGCUCGGUCCACUAACAAGUGGAAGUCCUCUGCGGUCCUGUGGUUCCUCGACCCAUUUAUGACUCCGCCCCCGACGCGUCCGACGCGUCUGGUGUGAACACACUUUUUUCGACGCGCGUCAAGACUGCUGCGUCAGACGCGUAGAGAAUUUUUUCGACGCGUCCGGUGUGAACGCACCAUAAGGCACAGAACACACACACACACACACACACACACACACACACACAAUAACGAGCUCUCGUUCCACACGUUGUCCCCAGCUGUGAGGUCAGAGAGGAGACAUCUGUUGACGGGAGGGAACCUGAUGAGUGUGUGUUCCGUGUCAGCACACACACACACACACACACACAAUAACUGGGUCAACUCCAUUCCAGCACUCUCGACCAGCUGUUGUCACACACUGUUGAGAAUGUGCUUUUAUUUUCCUAAAGAAAAGCCAAAGUGGUGAAGACCAGGGGACCCACGUGGCCCCCGGGUGAGUCCACAACAAUGUAGCAUCAAUGUAGCAUCAAUGUAGCAACAAUGUAGCAACAAUGUAGCAUCAAUGUAGCAACAAUGUAGCAACAAUGUAGUAACAAUGUAGCAACAAUGUAGUAACAAUGUAGUAUCAAUGUAGCAACAAUGUAGCAUCAAUGUAGCAACAAUGUAGCAUCAAUGUAGUAACAAUGUAGCAACAAUGUAGCAUCAAUGUAGCAACAAUGUAGUAACAAUGUAGCAUCAAUGUAGCAUCAAUGUAGCAUCAAUACAGUGUUAAGUUGUAAUAGUUUAUUUUGAUAACAUCUGCAGAGGUCUUAUGUUUUAAAUUAAUACAUAUAGAAAGAUAUUAUAAUAGACUAUUAAGGAGAAUAUUGAUAUUGUUAUUAAUGUAUUAUGAAGCAUAGGGGUAAUGUUUACUCUAUGCUAAUGUAAAUGGCAAGAAUUAAUGUAAAUUGCAUGAGAGUGACUAUGUUAGUAUUAUAGAUUGACGAAGCCGGUUGAAUUCCGUGAAGUGACUUACAAUAACAAGAGACUUUUAUUGUGAAGGUGACUUUUAAUGCAGUCAAGAACAAAACGGGAAUCUUAUUGUGAAAAUACUUUAGCGACAGGACCGGAAGUGACGUUUCAACCGGUGAGAGAAAACUCCGCGUCUCAGAGAGACCGGUCUCUUUCUCAGGUAAGCCCCGAGGGGGGAGGCUGAGCUCCCGGGGGGAGCUGGGAGCCGGCGCCGGGAGCCGGGAGCUGGGAGCCGGGACACGGGGGAGAGCGCCUUGAAUGUUUGUUUUACACGUCCUGCCAUUAAAUGUUGAUAACUUCAUC